UGGGGAAUUUUGGACAAUGGGCGCAAGCCUGAUCCAGCCAUGCCGCGUGCGGGAAGAAGGCCUUCGGGUUGUAAACCGCUUUUGUCAGGGAAGAAAUCUUCUGAGUUAAUACCUCGGGAGGAUGACGGUACCUGAAGAAUAAGCACCGGCUAACUACGUGCCAGCAGCCGCGGUAAUACGUAGGGUGCAAGCGUUAAUCGGAAUUACUGGGCGUAAAGCGUGCGCAGGCGGUUUUGUAAGACAGAGGUGAAAUCCCCGGGCUCAACCUGGGAACUGCCUUUGUGACUGCAAGGCUUGAGUGCGGCAGAGGGGGAUGGAAUUCCGCGUGUAGCAGUGAAAUGCGUAGAUAUGCGGAGGAACACCGAUGGCGAAGCAAUCC
rnacentral:rRNA from 1 species